GACCGGCGCACGGGUGCGUAACGCGUAUGCAAUCUACCUUGUACAGGGGAAUAGCCCAGAGAAAUUUGGAUUAAUGCCCCAUAGUAUAUUUGAGUGGCAUCAUUUAAAUAUUAAAGUUGAGGCGGUACAAGAUGAGCAUGCGUCCCAUUAGCUAGUUGGUAUGGUAACGGCAUACCAAGGCAAUGAUGGGUAGGGGUCCUGAGAGGGAGAUCCCCCACACUGGUACUGAGACACGGCCCAGACUCCUACGGGAGGCAGCAGUGGGGAAUAUUGGGCAAUGGACGCAAGUCUGACCCAGCGACGCCGCGUGCGGGAUGAAGGCCUUCGGGUUGUAAACCGCUUUCAGCAGGGAAGAAGCGAAAGUGACGGUACCUGCAAAAGAAGCACCGGCUAACUAUGUGCCAGCAGCCGCGGUAAUACAUAGGGUGCAAGCGUUGUCCGGAAUUAUUGGGCGUAAAGAGUUCGUAGGUGGUUCGUUACGUCGGAUGUGAAAAUCUGGGGCUCAACCCCAGACCUGCAUUCGAUACGGGCGAGCUAGAGUUUGGUAGGGGAGACUGGAAUUCCUGGGGUAACGGUGGAAUGCGCAGAUUUCCAGAGGAACACCAAUGGCGAAAGCAGGUCUCUGGGCCAAUACUGACACUUGAGGAACGAAAGCGUGGGGAGCGAAACAGGAUUAGAUACCCUGGGUAGUCCACGCCGUAAAAGGUGGGCGCUUGUUGUGGGGGACCUUCCCACGGUUUCUGCCACGCAGGCUAACCCAUUAA
rnacentral:rRNA from 1 species